AAGAGACAGCAGCAGCCGCGGGAAUACGGAGGGUGCAAGCGUUAUCCGGAUUUAUUGGGUUUAAAGGGUCCGUAGGCGGAUCUGUAAGUCAGUGGUGAAAUCUCACAGCUUAACUGUGAAACUGCCAUUGAUACUGCAGGUCUUGAGUAAAUUUGAAGUGGCUGGAAUAAGUAGUGUAGCGGUGAAAUGCAUAGAUAUUACUUAGAACACCAAUUGCGAAGGCAGGUCACUAAGAUUUAACUGACGCUGAUGGACGAAAGCGUGGGGAGCGAACAGGAUUAGAUACCCGCGUAGUCCCUGUCUCUUAUAU
rnacentral:rRNA from 1 species